rnacentral:rRNA from 1 species
AUUGAACGCUGGCGGCAGGCCUAACACAUGCAAGUCGAACGAGCGGCGGACGGGUGAGUAAUGUCUGGGGAUCUGCCCGAUGGAGGGGGAUAACUACUGGAAACGGUGGCUAAUACCGCAUACUAUCGGAUGAACCCAUAUGGGAUUAGCUAGUAGGUGGGGUAAAGGCUCACCUAGGCGACGAUCCCUAGCUGGUCUGAGAGGAUGAUCAGCCACACUGGGACUGAGACACGGCCCAGACGCCUACGGGAGGCAGCAGUGGGGAAUAUUGCACAAUGGGCGCAAGCCUGAUGCAGCCAUGCCGCGUGUAUGAAGAAGGCCUUCGGGUUGUAAAGUACUUUCAGCGGGGAGGCGUUACCCGCAGAAGAAGCACCGGCUAACUCCGUGCCAGCAGCCGCGGUAAUUC